rnacentral:rRNA from 1 species
CCUACGGGUGGCAGCAGUGGGGAAUAUUGGGCAAUGGGCGCAAGCCUGACCCAGCAACGCCGCGUGAAGGUAGAAGGCCCUCGGGUUGUAAACUUCUUUUAUUCGGGACGAAACAAAUGACGGUACCGAAUGAAUAAGCUACGGCUAACUACGUGCCAGCAGCCGCGGUAAUACGUAGGUGGCAAGCUUUAUCCGGAUUUACGGGUUGCAAGGGGGGUGGAGGCGGGAGGGCAAGUCGGACGUGAAAUUCCAGGGCUAAACCCUGGAACUGCGUUUGAAACUGUUCUUCUUGAGUGAUGGGGAGGCAGGCGGAAUUCGGGGUGUAGCGGUGAAAUGCGUAGAUAGACGGAGGAACACCAGUGGCGAAGGCGGCCUACGGGACAUUAACUGACGCUGAGGCGCGAAAGCGUGGGGAGCAAACAGGAUUAGAUACCCGAGUAGUC